rnacentral:rRNA from 1 species
AUGGUUAAGCGAAGAAGAGCGCAGGGUGGAUGCCUUGGCACUGGGAGCCGAUGAAAGACGUGAUAAGCUGCGAAAAGCUUCGGGGAGGGGCAAAUACCCGUCGAUCCGGAGAUAUCUGAAUGGGGAAACCCGCCUGAGAAACCCUCAGGCAUCCAUACGCCAAUCCAUAACGUAUGGAGGGGAACCCGGGGAACUGAAACAUCUAAGUACCCGGAGGAAGAGAAAGAAACAUCGAUUCCGUAAGUAGCGGCGAGCGAACGCGGAAGAGCCCAAACCGGCAUGCGUGCAUGCCGGGGUUAAGGACCGCAGAGAGGAUCCAGGAAGGUUAACGGAACGGUUUUGGGAAAGCCGGCCGGAGAGGGUGAAAGCCCCGUACGUGAAAACCGGAAUGGCCAAGCGGGAUCCAGAGUACCACGAGACACGUGAAACCUUGUGGGAAGUCGGGGGGACCACCCCCCAAGGCUAAAUACUGCCCAGUGACCGAUAGCGCAUAGUACUGUGAAGGAAAGGUGAAAAGAACCCCGGGAGGGGAGUGAAAGAGAACCUGAAACCCUGUGUUUACAAGCUGUGGGAGCGCUGCAUAUGCGCGACCGCGUACUUUUUGUAGAACGGUCCGGCGAGCUGCGCCGGCUGGCAAGGUUAAGUGCCAAAGGCACGGAGCCGGAGGGAAACCAAGUCUGAAUAGGGCGUUUUAGUCAGCCAGUGCAGGCCCGAAACCGGGUGAUCUAUCCAUGUCCAGGCUGAAGCUGCCGUAAAAGGCAAUGGAGGGCCGAACCCACAUCCGUUGAAAAGGGUGGGGAUGAGGUGUGGAUAGGGGAGAAAUUCCAAUCGAACCCGGAGAUAGCUGGUUCUCCUCGAAAUAGCUUUAGGGCUAGCCCCGCAGGAGGUUCACGGAGGUAGAGCACUGAAUACCCUAGGGGGCGUCAAAGCUUACCGAAGGUUAUCAAACUCCGAAUGCCGUGGAACUGCUCUGCGGGAGUCAGACUGCACGAGAUAAGUUGGGCAGUCAAAAGGGAAAGAGCCCAGACCUCCAGCUAAGGCCCCAAAGUGUGUGUUAAGUGGAAAAGGAUGUGGGAUUUCGAAGACAGCUAGGAUGUUGGCUCAGAAGCAGCCAUACAUUCAAAGAGUGCGUAAUAGCUCACUAGUCGAGAGGUCCUGCGCCGAAAAUGUCCGGGGCUGAAACAUGCCGCCGAAGCUGAGGGAUGCACGUGAGUGCAUCGGUAGGGGAGCAUUCCUGCAGGGAAGAAGCUGUACCGUAAGGGGCAGUGGACAUGCAGGAAGAGAGAAUGCCGGAAUGAGUAGCGAGAGGAAGGUGGGAAUCCUUCCGGCCGAAUAUCCAAGGUUUCCAGGGU